rnacentral:lncRNA from 1 species
GGACCGUUUGACGCAGAAGCCAGGACGGGGAUGGUGAAUUCUCAUAGCGUGGAGCAGUGGACGGUGGGGGUAGCGGUGCCUGGGGUUGAGAAGACCAUGAAGAGACACGCAGAAGUGUCUCCAGCUUCCAGAACAUUCUAUAUCACUAGAGGUGCUCAAGCAACAUGUCCAUCGAAUCUGGACUUCAGCCACCCCAUGGUUCCCUUUACACCAUUCAUCUACCUAAAAGAUCCGUGUCUGUUCUUGGGAAUUUAACAUCAAAAACCACUUCUACUCCAGAGUUUAUGGUGGAGAGAGGGACCCCACAGGCAGCUCAUGGUUCCUACUCUGCUGGUUCUCCAGCAGCACCCGCGUGUCCUCCAGGUCCCAGGUGAGGUGGUGACACUUCCUCUUCAGCUGGUAAGCCAUCUUCUUGGCCUCUUCAUACGCAUUCUGCAGCUCCCCAAGCUAUGGAGAGAAGAGAGUGAGAGGUUCGCUGGUGCCCCCCCCCCCCCGUUUCCAAAGCCAUGGAUGCUGGGAGAGAGAAGACCUCAGAGGAGUUCCUGUCAGUGUUAGGAAGCCGCUUCCCCGAGCCCCACUUUGCUGGGAG